rnacentral:lncRNA from 1 species
GCGCGAUGAUUUUCGGUGAUUAUCCGGCGGAGUACAACCCGAAGAUCCACGGACCUUACGAUCCUGUCCGUUAAUACGGCAAG